CUUGUUUCUGGUUUGUGCAUAAAUUAAUAUUCUCACACUCAUUGCACAUAAUUUUCUUAUUGUUAAACGCUCCAAAUUUUCAGUAGAUAUCAUUUGGAGUUCCUAUGGAGUUUCAUCUUCUUUCCAUCUAUGUUUUAUUCUGUCUUGCUUUAAGAGGAAGCAAUGCUUCUUUACCUGCAGAGGUGUAUUGGAAGUCCAUGUUACCAAACACUUCCAUGCCCAAAGCUCUACAAGACCUUUUACAGCCUGG